rnacentral:lncRNA from 1 species
UUGUUUUUUGGGAAAAGUCACAUAAUUUAAUUGUAUGAUAAAAGUUUAUUCUAUGUGACUCGAUUAAUGAAUAGAUAUAAGGAAAAUUAUAUGAGUUUAAAAUAAAAUAUUUUUCUUCAUUACCGUACCUUUUUCUUUUCCAGCAAGGAAUAGAAAUUAGUUCCUUUCUUGGUGGGAUUCUACUUCCCUUUCCUAUUUAGGUUUAUACAUGGUGUAUUUUCCUUGUAUAACUCCCA